AUUGAACGCUGGCGGCAGGCCUAACACAUGCAAGUCGAACGAGUGGCGGACGGGUGAGUAAUGUCUGGGAAACUGCCUGAUGGAGGGGGAUAACUACUGGAAACGGUAGCUAAUACCGCAUACCAUCGGAUGUGCCCAGAUGGGAUUAGCUAGUAGGUGGGGUAACGGCUCACCUAGGCGACGAUCCCUAGCUGAUCUGAGAGGAUGAUCAGCCACACGGGGACUGAGACACGGGCCAGACUCCUACGGGAGGCAGCAGUGGGGAAUCUUGGACAAUGGGCGAAAGUCUGAUGGAGCCAGGCCGCGUGGAUGAAGAAGGCCUUCGGGUUGUAAAGUACUUUCAGCGGGGAGGCGUUACCCGAAGAAGAAGCACCGGCUAACUCCGUGCCAGCAGCCGCGGUAAUAC
rnacentral:rRNA from 1 species